AACGCUGGCGGCAGGCUUAACACAUGCAAGUCGAGCGGGCGUAGCAAUACGUCAGCGGCAGACGGGUGAGUAACGCGUGGGAACGUACCUUUUGGUUCGGAACAACACAGGGAAACUUGUGCUAAUACCGGAUAAGCCCUUACGGGGAAAGAUUUAUCGCCGAAAGAUCGGCCCGCGUCUGAUUAGCUAGUUGGUGAGGUAAUGGCUCACCAAGGCGACGAUCAGUAGCUGGUCUGAGAGGAUGAUCAGCCACAUUGGGACUGAGACACGGCCCAAACUCCUACGGGAGGCAGCAGUGGGGAAUAUUGGACAAUGGGGGCAACCCUGAUCCAGCCAUGCCGCGUGAGUGAUGAAGGCCCUAGGGUUGUAAAGCUCUUUUGUGCGGGAAG
rnacentral:rRNA from 1 species